AGCUCCAAUAGCGUAUAUUAAAGUUGCUGCAGUUAAAAAGCUCGUAGUUGCAUUUCCGAGGCAAGGGAUUAGUCCGACCUUUGGUGGGUAUUUAAUCCUCUUGCCUCGUCCUUGAGUGGUGCUUCUUGGUAUUAAGUUAUCGAGGAGAUAGCCGCUCAUCGUUUACUGUGAGAAAAUUAGAGUGUUCAAAGCAGGCUUAUGCCGUUGAAUAUAUUAGCAUGGAAUAAUAAGAUAGGACCUCGGUACUAUUUUGGUGGUUUGAGAACCAAGGUAAUGAUGAAUAGGGACAGUUGGGGGUAUUCGUAUUCAGUUGUCAGAGGUGAAAGUCUUAGAUUUACGGAAGACGAACUACUGCGAAAGCAUUUACCAAGGAUGUUUUCA
rnacentral:rRNA from 1 species